CAGUCGCCGCGGUAAUACGUAGGUGGCGAGCGUUGUCCGGAAUUAUUGGGCGUAAAGCGCGCGCAGGCGGAUAGGUCAGUCUGUCUUAAAAGUUCGGGGCUUAACCCCGUGAUGGGAUGGAAACUGCCAAUCUAGAGUAUCGGAGAGGAAAGUGGAAUUCCUAGUGUAGCGGUGAAAUGCGUAGAUAUUAGGAAGAACACCAGUGGCGAAGGCGACUUUCUGGACGAAAACUGACGCUGAGGCGCGAAAGCCAGGGGAGCGAACGGGAUUAGAUACCCGCGUAGUCCCUGUCUCUUAUACA
rnacentral:rRNA from 1 species